rnacentral:rRNA from 1 species
GAUGAACGCUGGCGGCGUGCUUAACACAUGCAAGUCGUACGGUAAGGCCCUUUCGGGGGUACACGAGUGGCGCACGGGUGAGUAACACGUGAGUAACCUGCCCACAACUUUGGGAUAACGCUAGGAAACUGGUGCUAAUACUGGAUAUGUGCUCCUGCUGCAUGGUGGGGGUUGGAAAGCUCCGGCGGUUGUGGAUGGACUCGCGGCCUAUCAGCUUGUUGGUGGGGUAGUGGCCUACCAAGGCGGCGACGGGUAGCCGGCCUGAGAGGGUGACCGGCCACAGUGGGACUGAGAUACGGCCCAGACUCCUACGGGAGGCAGCAGUGGGGAAUAUUGCACAAUGGGCGCAAGCCUGAUGCAGCAACGCCGCGGGCGGGAUGACGGCCUUCGGGUUGUAAACCGCUUUCAGCAGGGACGAAGCUUUUUGUGACGGUACCUGCAGAAGAAGCACCGGCUAACUACGUG